rnacentral:rRNA from 1 species
UAGCCAUGCAUGUCUAAGUAUAAAUAACUACACAGUAAAACUGCGAAUGGCUCAUUAAAACAGUUAUAGUUUAUUUGAUAAAUUAAAUGGAUAACUGUAGGAAACUAGAGCUAAUACAUGCCAAGGUCGUAAGACUGCAUUUAUUAGAUAUACCAAGUCGGUGAAUCAUAAUAACUUUGCAAAUCGAAACAACGUUUCGAUAAAUCAUUCAAGUUUCUGACCUAUCAUGCUGGAUGGUAGUGUAUUGGACUACCAAGGCAGUCACGGGUAACGGAGAAUUAGGGUUCGAUUCCGGAGAAGGAGCCUGAGAAACGGCUACUACAUCUAAGGAAGGCAGCAGGCGCGUAAAUUACCCAAUCCUAAAUCAGGGAGGUAGUGACAAGAUAUAAUAACGCGAAUAAAUUUCGCGAUUGUAGUGAGGGUAUUCUAAAAAUAGCUUCGAGUACGAUUGGAGGGCAAGUCUGGUGCCAGCAGCCGCGGUAAUUCCAGCUCCAAUAGCGUAUAUUAAAGUUGUUGCAGUUAAAAAGCUCGUAGUUGGAUUUCAAGAAACGCAUCUGAGCAAUCAGUUUGCUUUCUACCAGUCUUUGACUGUUACUGUGAGAAAAUUAGAGUGUUUCAAGCAGGCUAUUGCAGGAAUACAUUAGCAUGGAAUAACGAAUGUGUCUACAAUUUGGUUGAUUGUAGGUUACGAUUAAUAGGGACAGUUGGGGGCAUUAGUAUUUAAUUGUCAGAGGUGAAAUUCUUGGAUUUGUUAAAGACUAACGUAUGCGAAAGCAUUUGCCAAGGAUGUUUUCAUUAAUCAAGAACGAAAGAUAGGGGAUCAAAGACGAUCAGAUACCGUC